AUCCCUGCAUCAACCAUAACAUCAGAUACAACAACUACUUACUCCUACAACAUUCCAUGAUUAUCUAGUCGGAUAUAUUCUGGACAGUGACACAGAAGCCAUGAUUAAUGAUUUGCUUUUCUUUCGCUGGCUUCUUUUUGCAUAUCCUCAAUAAUAGCAUUUUUCUUCUUUGUCACAUAAAAGCAUUUCUGGCCGGUAAGAGUGACAUAGAAAAAAAUAUCACCCAGGCGACCAACCACAUAGAUAACGUUUGAUCUACAGAGAGCUAAGGUUGUGGCUGCAGAGAAGGUUCCUAGAAGCAUCUAAGAGUGACAAAGACAUGCGAAACAUACAUUAGUUAUCUAUAUGACUGAAGUGCUACUACCAUAUAUUCUUUAAUCGGGGGUGGCUACCUGUGCUACCGGAUGUGCUGGCUCACACUAAUGAAGUACCGACAGCCCCAAAACCAGUUAAUCUCAGAGCAGCUAUGCACUGGGCACCACAGUGCAUGAUUACUCAACAGGGGGAUGGCAUCUCGUUGUUUCCAAGAUUUUGUGGCAGGAUUACUGUGGGAUGAACGUUGACAGCAUGGGCAAUUGUGAAUGAAUCAAGCGAAUGCAUUCUGAUGGACAACACACCACGUGGGAGGGAGCCUCACCUCAAAUCCAUUGGAGCAGAGGGCCAGAACGGGAGGACCUCCUCCAGUGGAUGGCAGCUGAGCUUCAAGAAGUCCCUCCAACAGAACACGCUGUCCUGUAUCUGGUUGUAGCUGGUGCCGUACCUCACCGGCCCCCUGAUGUCGCUCGUCAUGUACUUGGAUCUCUCCUCCAGUGGGAGCCCGAAGAAUCUCCUCCCGACAUCCAUUAUUCUCCGUA